AGGAUAUUAGUUAAAAAAAUAACAUUUAUUUUGCAAAUAAAAAUUAAUUAAUUUCAUA
rnacentral:tRNA from 2 species